ACUCUCGACACCUACGGGAGACAGCAGUGGGGAAUAUUGCACAAUGGGGGAAACCCUGAUGCAGCGACGCCGCGUGAGCGAAGAAGUAUUUCGGUAUGUAAAGCUCUAUCAGCAGGGAAGAAAGUGACGGUACCUGACUAAGAAGCACCGGCUAAAUACGUGCCAGCAGCCGCGGUAAUCUGAGCGGGCUGGCAAGGC
rnacentral:rRNA from 1 species